AAUGAUUACAAAUUACAAUCAAACUAUUAAUUUACUCCUUCACAUAAACCGUGAUGUGAAGUCGGGCUCGGGUCAAAUUAAGGCUUAUGGGCUUAGUAAACUACCGUACGGUACGUUCAUAUUAGAUAAUACUGCAUUGGCACUUCUCCAAAAUAAAUUCGUGACAUUUCAAGAUUUUCAGGCUAGCCCGAAAAGUCACCAAAAUUGUCUGAAAAUCGUAACUCCCAUGUCACCAAGGAGGGCUAAAAGUCAGCAAAAUUGUGACUUUUGGAACCGUCUAGCAACACUGAUUAAGGAAGAGCCGGGCGGGGCACCAUUAUCGCGUGUUGCCAAUUAUACAGAAAAAUGAUAUAAUAUAGAGCCCUGCUGAGUGUACGACGGGGUGAGAGGGGCAGUAUAUAUAAGUAUUCCCGACGUUUGGGCCGUGUAGAUUAUAUACACGUUUAUAAUCUCUCACUAAUCAGAAAUGUAAAAGUAAAACUCGUGUCACAUUAUAGUCUAAUGAAAUAUUGAGUGGCAACACCCAAUAAAAUGUCAUUCUGACAUUGAUAACUUUGACAAAUGACAAGCUACUCAAGCUCUAGCUAUCUAAUUACUUAUUGUUGAGUCCAUGAUGAUAUUCGCGAUAUUUUUGCCGUGAUAUGCAAAUGCAAACAAAAACAAGAAGAAAGGGAAAACAGAGUGUCUAGAAGUGGUGUCCAAAUUUGUAGGAAAAUUCGACGUUUCUGAAGAAAAACAAGUUCUUUUAGAAAAUCUUGGGAUGCUGAAAGACUUGCUGAUUGAAAAGAUUUGCUCAGUCAAAACAAGUAUUUAGAGGAAAUAUCGUCAAUGACUGAUAUCAGUUUUUCUACAUUGAAAAGAAUAAAUAUUGAGAGAAAAGCUAACCAUGAUAUCUUCUGUACUCCAGGGAAGAAAAGAUCAGACAAGCCCACAAGAUAGAGCUAAUCUGGAGCUCAGCAAAGAGAAGAGUCACAAGCAUAAAUUUUGGCAUACCAGCAGCUGACCUUGAAAAUUCAAGAAGCUUUUGACAGCAUAACACCAGAGCUUUGGAAGAAAAUGACUGAUCAUGUGCUCAAUAUUGAAGCUCAGUGUAAAACCAGAAACAGAAUAACGGAAGAACUAGAAUCGUUUAUUUUAAGUGUGUUUAAUGAUGAUGACUCUGACAGUAGUUCAGAGUCAAUGGAAGCUGGAAGCUCCUAAUAAAGUACAAAACCUUGUUAAUUUUAAAUUAAAGGAAAAAUGGAAAAAUUCACAUUUAAAUUCACGUAUCAUUUGCAGAUGUUUCUGCAUGAUAAAAAAUAACUUCUUAAUUUUACUUCAACUUUUCCUCCCACAACUAGGCUCAUUCACUACAGAGAGUACUCCACUCUCGGUCAAUCGGUCAAAUGAACUAGUUGGUCUUUUAGUUCCUUUAGAUCAGUGGUUAUUGGGAGUCAGGGAUGAUAAUAGGUCUGAUACAUUUCAUUCCAGUCUCCUUUUACACAUGAUAUUUCUCCAAUCUUUGGUAAUUGAAUAUAAUUCCAAGUUGUAGUACCUACCUAUAAUAUUAUCCAAGUUUAUUGUAUAUAGAAAAUAUUUCAUUUUCCCGCAUAGAUUUAGACCUUAAACAUUCCUUUCAUCUCUUUCUCACUUGUGCCAAUGGCAUUUUUUACUGUUUCGUUCCGUCUGUUAUCACUUCACUCAGUCAAGCGCUCUGCGAUCCCACUGAACUAUAGGACCUAAUAAGGACCGAUUAAGACCGUGCAAAAAGAUUUAGUUCCUAUCGGUCCUUUAUGGGAUUUCAUUCCUAACAGUACUUAGUUCAUGACCGCCACAAGCCUACAACGUAUCAGCAUUGCGAUACAACGAGGAAAUGUCUCCUGCAUUCCUUGGUACAAUGCCUAAAUGGCGUAGCUAUUGUAGAUUAGGCUAGUUCUUAAUUUCAUUUCAUUAUGAUUUUAUUUAUUAUUGUAGAGAAAUAAAUGAUUAUGACAUUUUA
rnacentral:lncRNA from 1 species